rnacentral:rRNA from 1 species
UACGAAGGGGGCUAGCGUUGUUCGGAAUUACUGGGCGUAAAGCGUAUGCAGGCGGAUCGUUAAGUCGGGGGUGAAAUCCCGGAGGCUCAACCUCGGAACUGCCUUCGAUACUGGCGAUCUUGAGUCCGGGAGAGGUGAGUGGAACUCCGAGUGUAGAGGUGAAAUUCGUAGAUAUUCGCAAGAACACCAGUGGCGAAGGCGGCUCACUGGCCCGGUACUGACGCUGAGGUGGCGAAAGCGGUGGGGAGCAAACAGG